rnacentral:rRNA from 1 species
UACGUAGGGACCGAGCGUUAUCCGGAAUUAUUGGGCGUAAAGCGCGUGUAGGCGGUCCGUUAAGUCGGCUGUGAAAUCUCAGGGCUUAACCCUGAAACUGCGGUCGAUACUGGCGGACUUGAGGUAGGUAGAGGAGAGUGGAAUUCCCGGUGUAGCGGUGGAAUGCGCAGAUAUCGGGAGGAACACCAAUGGCGAAGGCAGCUCUCUGGGCCUUACCUGACGCUGAGACGCGAAAGCGUGGGUAGCAAACAGG